rnacentral:rRNA from 1 species
GAUGAACGCUGGCGGCGUGCCUAAUACAUGCAAGUCGAGCGAACGGACGAGAAGCUUGCUUCUCUGAUGUUAGCGGCGGACGGGUGAGUAACACGUGGAUAACCUACCUAUAAGACUGGGAUAACUUCGGGAAACCGGAGCUAAUACCGGAUGAUAUUUUGAACCGCAUGGUUCAAAAGUGAAAGACGGUCUUGCUGUCACUUAUAGAUGGAUCCGCGCUGCAUUAGCUAGUUGGUAAGGUAACGGCUUACCAAGGCAACGAUGCAUAGCCGACCUGAGAGGGUGAUCGGCCACACUGGAACUGAGACACGGUCCAGACUCCUACGGGAGGCAGCAGUAGGGAAUCUUCCGCAAUGGGCGAAAGCCUGACGGAGCAACGCCGCGUGAGUGAUGAAGGUCUUCGGAUCGUAAAACUCUGUUAUUAGGGAAGAACAUAUGUGUAAGUAACUGUGCACAUCUUGACGGUACCUAAUCAGAAAGCCACGGCUAACUACGUGCCAGCAGCCGCGGUAAUACGUAGGUGGCAAGCGUUAUCCGAAAUUAUGGGCGUNAAGCGCGCGUAGCGGUUUUUUAGUCUGAUGUGAAAGCCCACGGCUCAACCGUGGAGGGUCAUUGGAAACUGGAAAACUUGAGUGCAGAAGAGGAAAGUGGAAUUCCAUGUGUAGCGGUGAAAUGCGCAGAGAUAUGGAGGAACACCAGUGGCGAAGGCGACUUUCUGGUCUGUAACUGACGCUGAUGUGCGAAAGCGUGGGGAUCAAACAGGAUUAGAUACCCUGGUAGUCCACGCCGUAAACGAUGAGUGCUAAGUGUUAGGGGGUUUCCGCCCCUUAGUGCUGCAGCUAACGCAUUAAGCACUCCGCCUGGGGAGUACGACCGCAAGGUUGAAACUCAAAGGAAUUGACGGGGACCCGCACAAGCGGUGGAGCAUGUGGUUUAAUUCGAAGCAACGCGAAGAACCUUACCAAAUCUUGACAUCCUUUGACAACUCUAGAGAUAGAGCCUUCCCCUUCGGGGGACAAAGUGACAGGUGGUGCAUGGUUGUCGUCAGCUCGUGUCGUGAGAUGUUGGGUUAAGUCCCGCAACGAGCGCAACCCUUAAGCUUAGUUGCCAUCAUUAAGUUGGGCACUCUAAGUUGACUGCCGGUGACAAACCGGAGGAAGGUGGGGAUGACGUCAAAUCAUCAUGCCCCUUAUGAUUUGGGCUACACACGUGCUACAAUGGACAAUACAAAGGGCAGCGAAACCGCGAGGUCAAGCAAAUCCCAUAAAGUUGUUCUCAGUUCGGAUUGUAGUCUGCAACUCGACUACAUGAAGCUGGAAUCGCUAGUAAUCGUAGAUCAGCAUGCUACGGUGAAUACGUUCCCGGGUCU